rnacentral:rRNA from 1 species
AGAGCGAACGCUGGCGGCAGGCCUAACACAUGCAAGUCGAGCGCCCGUAGCAAUACGGGAGCGGCAGACGGGAUAGUAACACGUGGGAACGCGCCCUUCGGUUCGGAAUAACUCAGGGAAACUUGAGCUAAUACCGGAUACGCCCUUACGGGGAAAGAUUUAUUGCCGAAGGAACGGCCCGCGUCCGAUUAGCUAGUUGGUGAGGUAAUGGCUCACCAAGGCGACGAUCGGUAGCUGGUCUGAGAGGAUGACCAGCAUCACUGGGACUGAGACACGGCCCAGACUCCUACGGGAGGCAGCAGUGGGGAAUAUUGGACAAUGGGCGCAAGCCUGAUCCAGCUAUGCCGCGUGAGUGAUGACGGCCUUAGGGUUGUAAAGCUCUUUCGCUAGGGACGAUAAUGACGGUACCUAGACAAGAAGCCCCGGCUAACUUCGUGCCAGCAGCCGC